UACGGAGGGUGCAAGCGUUAUCCGGAUUCACUGGGUUUAAAGGGUGCGUAGGUGGGCAAGUAAGUCAGUGGUGAAAUCUCCGAGCUUAACUUGGAAACUGCCAUUGAUACUAUCUGUCUUGAAUAUUGUGGAGGUGAGCGGAAUAUGUCAUGUAGCGGUGAAAUGCUUAGAUAUGACAUAGAACACCAAUUGCGAAGGCAGCUCGCUACACAAAUAUUGACUCUGAGGCACGAAAGCGUGGGGAUCAAACAGG
rnacentral:rRNA from 1 species